AAGUCGUAACAAGGUUUCCGUAGGUGAACCUGCGGAGGGAUCCUCACAUAGCAAACGCUUUGUAUACCAAUAUUCAAACUCAACGCGAACCGUAACGUCCCUAUCUAUUGAUGGAUCGUGAGUGCUUGCACUUGUGUGAAGUCAGUAGGAUAGACAAUACCCCCAGAGUUCAUCUCAUCAAAUUCACUUUCGAUGAGUGGACUCGUUUCUAUUCACCAAUUUUUACCUAUAAUGAAUGAAUUGUCUUAUCUUUAACUUCAGAUAGUAAACUGUAUUGAUACUUCGGUGUCUUUAUUGUUUCUUGUUUGAAAUUACGAAAUAAUGAACAACUCUUAGUAAUGGAUAUCUUGGGUCAA
rnacentral:misc_RNA from 1 species